rnacentral:tRNA from 1 species
AAAACCGACAUUGAAAGUUUGAAACUUUUAUAAUCGAUUUUUUCGACGGUUUUA